rnacentral:rRNA from 1 species
AUGGCGGCGGCGAGGGCGGCCCGGCGGCUGUGCCACGCGGCGGCGGCGGCGCAGCCCCCGCGCCUGAAGAAGCUCGCGCUGCACCCGCCCAAAUCGCCGUCUAGCCGUUGGGUGCUUCCAGUUUCAGCUGAAUUGCCAGGUUCACGCCUUCACGGCAGCGCAGGAAAAAAGACAUUCCGUGUGAUGGUAGAGGUUCAAUUUGCAGAUGGCAGUACAUUCCAUCUGUCAGCUGAGUUUCUCAGAGUCUACAGCCCAGCAGCUGACAGCAAGAUCAGAUCAAUAGCUGGCGAGAAGGUUAUAUUUGGGCGCCGACAUGUUGGAAUAAUGUCAGCUGAAUCAAUAGGAAACUAUGGAGUCCGGAUACUGUUUGAUGAUUUGCACCAGACUGGGAUCUUCACUUGGGAUUACUUGCACCAUCUGGGUUCUAACAAAUUCAGUCUAUCACGAAAUUAUAUCAGAACUUUGAGGAAACAUGGUCUUAGUCGGGAUCCUCAGAGAAGGAAAUGA